rnacentral:lncRNA from 1 species
AGGUUAUUUGCGACUGACGCCAAUCGUGCCUUUCAUUCAUUAGACCAGCCGAGCAUUUCUUCUCCUCCUCCUGUUUUGGUCACUCCUUUGUCUGUUCGGAGUCCUUCUCCUUCUCGUCGCACUAAACAGUCUGCUCGUCCAUCUUCUUCUCUCCCUGCCAAGCCUAUUACAGUCAAGAGUGCCCCAAGCUGCAAACGGC